UUGAGAGUAACCGGGUAUACUCAAUCUGGCCACGGUUCUUCAACGAACCAGUUAAUGUUGUAUGUGACAUGGACACAGAAGGUGGUGGGUGGACGAUAAUCCAACGCCGCGGAUACUAUAACGAGAAACCCCAGGAUUUCAAUCAAUCUUGGUAUCAGUACAGCAUGGGAUUUGGAUCACUGAACGAAGAUUUUUGGCUUGGAAACGACAAAAUAUUUGCCUUAACAAACCACAAGGAAAUGGAGCUUAGAGUUGAUUUAGAAGAUUUUUCAGGGAAAACGGUCCAUGCUAAGUUCUCAUAUUUUCUU